rnacentral:rRNA from 1 species
GACGAACGCUGGCGGCGUGCUUAACACAUGCAAGUCGAACGGAAAGGCCCUGCUUUUGUGGGGUGCUCGAGUGGCGAACGGGUGAGUAACACGUGAGUAACCUGCCCUUGACUUUGGGAUAACUUCAGGAAACUGGGGCUAAUACCGGAUAGGAGCUCCUGCUGCAUGGUGGGGGUUGGAAAGUUUCGGCGGUUUGGGAUGGACUCGCGGCUUAUCAGCUUGUUGGUGGGGUAGUGGCUUACCAAGGCUUUGACGGGUAGCCGGCCUGAGAGGGUGACCGGCCACAUUGGGACUGAGAUACGGCCCAGACUCCUACGGGAGGCAGCAGUGGGGAAUAUUGCACAAUGGGCGGAAGCCUGAUGCAGCAACGCCGCGUGCGGGAUGACGGCCUUCGGGUUGUAAACCGCGUUCGCCUGUGACGAAGCGUGAGUGACGGUAAUGGGUAAAGAAGCACCGGCUAACUACGUG